rnacentral:rRNA from 1 species
AGUGAACGCUGGCGGUAGGCCUAACACAUGCAAGUCGAACGGCAGCACAGUAAGAGCUUGCUCUUACGGGUGGCGAGUGGCGGACGGGUGAGGAAUACAUCGGCAUCUACUUUUUCGUGGGGGAUAACGUAGGGAAACUUACGCUAAUACCGCAUACGACCUACGGGUGAAAGCAGGGGAUCUUCGGACCUUGCGCGAUUGAAUGAGCCGAUGUCGGAUUAGCUAGUUGGCGGGGUAAAGUCCCACCAAGGCGACGAUCCGUAGCUGGUCUGAGAGGAUGAUCAGCCACACUGGAACUGAGACACGGUCCAGACUCCUACGGGAGGCAGCAGUGGGGAAUAUUGGACAAUGGGCGCAAGCCUGAUCCAGCCAUACCGCGUGGGUGAAGAAGGCCUUCGGGUUGUAAAGCCCUUUUGUUGGGAAAGAAAAGCAGCAGGUUAAUACCCCGCUGUUCUGACGGUACCCAAAGAAUAAGCACCGGCUAACUUCGUG